UACGAAGGGGGCUAGCGUUGCUCGGAAUCACUGGGCGUAAAGGGUGCGUAGGCGGGUCUUUUAAGUCAGGGGUGAAAUCCUGGAGCUCAACUCCAGAACUGCCUUUGAUACUGGCGACCUUGAGUCCGGGAGAGGUGAGUGGAACUGCGAGUGUAGAGGUGAAAUUCGUAGAUAUUCGCAAGAACACCAGUGGCGAAGGCGGCUCACUGGCCCGAUACUGACGCUGAGGUGCGAAAGCGUGGGGAGCGAACAGG
rnacentral:rRNA from 1 species